rnacentral:sRNA from 1 species
AUGGCAGCAGAGGAUUCAAAAGAAGACAUGAAAACGGUGGCUGAGAUGGCUCCUAUUACCGCAGAAAGGAAGGUCCGAGAUGAUCUGGAGUCUAAGCUCCCCAAGCCCUGUAAUAUCCUCCAUCUCUUAUGCUUUUCUUGUUCAUCAACCGUCCCCCUUUUUCUUUUUUUCUUUUUGGGAGCAAAUAUUUAGAAUAAUGCAUUUCUGACUAAGUAGUUUACAGUGCAUUUUCAAUAAGUUUUUCGCUUGCUAUUCUCAUGGUUCAUGCUGUAUAGAAAAUGAACAAAUGGAUUUGAAUUUUGAAGUAAAAACUCUUGUGCCAGGUGAAUAUCAAGCGUGUGGAAAUGGAAUGAAGAUUAAAGGGUUUAGAUAUGUGUUACUUAAUUAAUAAACAUAAAUGAUUGUUUGAGAUUAGGAAUAAGUUUCAUGUUGAUUUGAAAAGUUGUCAUGGACUAGGUGAAAUGUUAUCUAAGCAAGCAAGCAAGAUCAAAAGUGGAAAAAAUUCUACCUAACAUUGUAGUGAACAAUUGAAUUAUUUUUUUUUUUCCUUUUUCUGAGUGUUUUAUUUUAUUUUUUUUCCUCCUAGCAUGACAUAACAGCCAAGUCAAUUUUGAGUUCACCUAAUUUACGCUAAACAUUUGAAACAAAUCAUUGAGUGGGGAAUUGUUGCAUAUUUGUUUGGAAAACAAUUUCCUUUAAUUUGUUUUUCAAUUGUUUAUACUUCAAAAUAAUAACAACUAGUAUUAGAUCGUCCAACUUAAAUAUAUAUAUAUAUAUAUAUAUUUCCUUUCCACGAUUUUUAGUUUGUGUCGAGUUUGAGCUUUUCUUUGCAUAAAUAAGUUUAUGGUUGGCUGUGGCUUUACGUACGACUUGGACUACCUCUUAUUUAUCUUUCGCCCAUAACCAUAAGCACCUUAUAUAUGCAGGAACAAAUUGGGUAUUGUUAAAAAUUAAAAAAAAUAAAAAAAAAAAUAUAUUUUUUUUUCUCAUUUAUUUUGUUGUGAAUUCUUCUUCAGACUUGCCUCGAGCUGUGGCUGCACCUGAUACAGAAAAUAUAAAUGGGACGUGGGGCCAUAAACAUCACAACAUGCAUGUCCGUGCUUCAACAGCAUGUAGCUUUCUUUGACCAGGACAAUGAUGGCAUCAUCUACCCAUCAGAAACAUAUAAAGGUAAGCUGUGUGCUGAUGGCUAAUAUUAAUCUCCAGAGACUUGAGAAACUAUGAAAUGAUUUGUUGUUCAUAACUAGUAAUAUUGGAGGAGGAUCAGUUUGGUGUGUGAGUUGCGUACAAAUCCAGGCUAUUCAAUUUUAGAGUCUUAGACCUUAAAGCUUAUACGUGUCCUACUUGAGUACUUGCUUAAGAUGAUUUGAUCAGGUUCAGAAUCAGCGAUUAAUGUACAUGAGGAAAAAAGGGACCUUAACUUAUGUAUGUUUCCUACCUUCGUAUGCAUAUGCCUAAAUUUCUCUCAUUAUCCUUAUGGAAUGAGCUCCUCAUGGGAAUUAACUAAAUUUAUGAUCUUAUCUUGACGAAUCUCUUCUUAUGGAUUGAUCGAUCAAUACUAGAAGUCUCGAAAUGACUUAAUAGUCCAAUGAAUAGUUUGAUAUAGAGAGAUGAAUAAGUCUUAAUUUAUACACUCCAUUUCUAUAGAUAGAUGGAAAAGGUUGGAGAGAGUGCAUGGCUUUAUGAAGUUCUCGACUUUCUAAAACUGUGCAAGGCCUUAGAGUAGUUUAUUAGGUUGUUUGUUACUUGUUAUCAACAAUAUUAGCCAUCAAAAAUAAUAAUAACAUAUAAGAAUACAAAUAUUUACGUGAAAAACUCUCUUUUUGAAUAGAAAAAUCACGAGACAAAUUUUAAAUAAUUUCACUAUUAUCAAAUCAAUUACAAUAAUUCUUGUGUAUAUCUCACGGUUAAAAAAACAAAUAUCUCUUAUUUAUUUUUGGCUUUCACACAUAUAAAUUAUCUUUCUCAAAAGGGACAAUUCCUUUUUUCUGUGGCAUCCAUCUUUUUCUUUCCAUUGUGCGGCACCUCCUUUUUCUUCUUGUUUGUGCUCUACUUUUUUUUUUUCUUCACCAUACGGCAAUCUGUUUCUUUUUCUCAUGCGGCACACAAAAUCUAAUGAACUUUAUUUAUAUAAAAUCUGCCGCCUCACACUCCUAGGAACAUAUGGAUACCUAAAUCAGCUUAUAUAAAAGACUUCUCAUAAAAAUAGAAUUCUAUUCUAUCCAACAAGCUCAUUACAUGGGCUAUUACGUACGUGGGCUGAAUUUAAUUGGUGCCGUGCACCUAACACUUUAUACACUCCUUCAUUUUUAAAGAUACAUGGAAAGGUUGGAGAGAGUGCAUGGCUUUAUGAAGUUCUCGACUUUCUAAAACUGUGCGAGGCCUUAGAGUAGUAUAUUAGGUUGUUUGUUUGUUAGCAUAUUCAAGAAUUUGGACCAAUAGAUCUAGAGCAAACUAGUGUUGACUUACUUGCUUUUAAGGUUGAUUUGAAUCUCGAUGCUAAUACGGUGCAAUUUAUUGGUGAUUAGGUUACUUAUGAUUAUUUUGUUAACUCGGUGGUUGUAACUGCUCUUCAGAAAGAUUCUUGUUAAUCUUUGUUUGCAUGGGAAGUAGUAAUUAAUUAAUUCAUUUGCAAGCCAAUUGCAUUUCUAAUUAAAUAUAAUCUCAAAAAAAUGUAAAUAUGCCAGUUUUGUGUUCUAAUUGUACCAGACAAAUUUUAAAAUAAAGAGUUUUUCCCCUUGGGGGGCAAAGUUUUCUAGUUUACUAAGUUGGUUGGAGAUAUGCCCGACCAAGACCAAGUUUCAGUAAGAGUAACCAGAAAUGGUUUCAAUUUUUGUGAUUUUGGUGGUUCAAUGGCUAACUCUCCAUUUGUUUACAGGAUGUCGCGCACUCGGUUUCAAUGCAGUUGCUUCCUUCUUUUUUAUGAUUUUGAUCCAUGGAUCUAUGAGCUAUGCUACCUUGCCUGUAAGUUUGUUGUGAUUUGGAACAUGAUCAUUUGUCCUUAACUAGAGCUAAAGUUGAUAAUUUUAAUUCUUUUUCUUGCAGACAUGGAUACCAUCAUCACCUUACUUCCCAAUAUACAUACAGAACAUACAUAAGGGAAAGCAUGGAAGUGAUUCAGGGACUUAUGACACAGAGGGAAGGUGA